CACUACAGCCAUGCUACCCUGAACAAGCCUGAUUCCAUCUGAUCUCGGAAGCUAAGCAGGGUCGGGCCUGGUUAGUACUUGGAUGGGAGACCACCUAGAAAGACCACGUGCCAUAGGUG
rnacentral:rRNA from 1 species